rnacentral:rRNA from 1 species
UGCAAGUCGAGCGGUAGCACAGAGAGCUUGCUCUCGGGUGACGAGCGGCGGACGGGUGAGUAAUGUCUGGGAAACUGCCUGAUGGAGGGGGAUAACUACUGGAAACGGUAGCUAAUACCGCAUAAUGUCGCAAGACCAAAGUGGGGGACCUUCGGGCCUCAUGCCAUCAGAUGUGCCCAGAUGGGAUUAGCUAGUAGGUGGGGUAACGGCUCACCUAGGCGACGAUCCCUAGCUGGUCUGAGAGGAUGACCAGCCACACUGGAACUGAGACACGGUCCAGACUCCUACGGGAGGCAGCAGUGGGGAAUAUUGCACAAUGGGCGCAAGCCUGAUGCAGCCAUGCCGCGUGUGUGAAGAAGGCCUUCGGGUUGUAAAGCACUUUCAGCGGGGAGGAAGGCGAUAAGGUUAAUAACCUUGGCGAUUGACGUUACCCGCAGAAGAAGCACCGGCUAACUCCGUGCCAGCAGCCGCGGUAAUACGGAGGGUGCAAGCGUUAAUCGGAAUUACUGGGCGUAAAGCGCACGCAGGCGGUCUGUCAAGUCGGAUGUGAAAUCCCCGGGCUCAACCUGGGAACUGCAUUCGAAACUGGCAGGCUAGAGUCUUGUAGAGGGGGGUAGAAUUCCAGGUGUAGCGGUGAAAUGCGUAGAGAUCUGGAGGAAUACCGGUGGCGAAGGCGGCCCCCUGGACAAAGACUGACGCUCAGGUGCGAAAGCGUGGGGAGCAAACAGGAUUAGAUACCCUGGUAGUCCACGCCGUAAACGAUGUCGAUUUGGAGGUUGUGCCCUUGAGGCGUGGCUUCCGGAGCUAACGCGUUAAAUCGACCGCCUGGGGAGUACGGCCGCAAGGUUAAAACUCAAAUGAAUUGACGGGGGCCCGCACAAGCGGUGGAGCAUGUGGUUUAAUUCGAUGCAACGCGAAGAACCUUACCUGGUCUUGACAUCCACAGAACUUUCCAGAGAUGGAUUGGUGCCUUCGGGAACUGUGAGACAGGUGCUGCAUGGC